GAGUUACCUAUAAAUAAAGGCUUCUCUUAUGAGAAAAUGAGGACACUUAGAGAGAAAACACUACCGACACUCUGCCAAAAUAGAGAGUCAUCUCUAAAGUUCACAAGAAUUCCAUUGUUCAUCAAAGCCUAUUCCUACUUCUUCAAAUCAAAGUGGGGAUUCUCCUUUAACCUAGUUCGAGAUCAAGCCAACAGCCCUCGCAUCAAAUCAAGCACGUUCGACUAUUCAUUCAACUUGGAGACAUCACAUCACAAUUCAAGAUCAAGCUUCAUAGCCCCUUCGGAUCGUAACGUUUCUUGGAGAUCGAAUCAGAGGAAUUUAUUGUAUUCUUUCAUUAUAAAGAUUCAUACAGAGGAUUGUACUCACAUAUAUACAAAUCAAUAUAAAUUGAUAAUUGGUUACACUAUUUCGUGAUCGUGUGAUUUAUCUUUUACGAAAAUUGUGUGUACAGUACAUUUUUUUUUUCAACUUUUUGAAGAUAGAGUUGUUUAAAAUAAAAAUAAAAAAAAAGGAAAGAAAAUGAAAAACACUCUCUCCUCUUGGUUGAUUGAAGACCACAAUAGAAAAGAGAAAUGAGGUAGAAAUGUUGUCAGUGGUGUGGGCCAGCAGGUCCAUAUAUGAUCAUGCCUAAAUAAGCCCAUGGACCGAUAUGCAAACGCAAAGGGCCAAAGGCCCACAACUUCUCCAUAUUGUUGUGUAGUGUGUACCAUGUCAAAUUCUCAUUCUGUCGCGUUAUUGGGUAAGUAUUGCUUUGCUUCAGCUCUGGAAGCAGCAUAAACCUAUCCUAUUCCUUGACUGUAUAGCAACAAGGCACUUUCAAGGCUGCAACUCAUGAAUCCCAAAAAGAAAAAGAAAAAAGGGAAGCAACCAGUAUUAACCAUCAAGUGGAAUAUGUGUUUUGAAAAUGAAUUUAUUUUCAUCAGUAAUUAUAACUUAUAAGCGAAUUAUUUGUAAAGAGGGUAAGGAAAUAAGGAUCUUUAUCAUCUCACAGAUAUGUAUAUAUAUUAAAAUGGUUUAUUCAGGAAUGGAAAUAAAGGACUUUUACAUUGAUAAACACAAUUAUUUUGAACCAUACUUAUACAAGUAGAGAAUACCAAGAUACAAAUCACGGAACAAACGUGUUCAUUUUAUAGUUCAGAUAUUUUUUUCUUGGAUUUAAAAGUGUAUAUUAAAAUUUUAAAUGAUCGUGAUUCUCGAUACACUUUUAAAAUCAUAAAAAUAUUUAAU